AAGUCGUAACAAGGUUUCCGUAGGUGAACCUGCGGAAGGAUCAUUACAACGUAUCCACGUACAAACUCACGAACUGUUCCCUUUAGAGUAAACAACUUGUGGAUGAAGUUAAUGGCUGACAUGCUCUUGCUGAUGGAGUUCUGGAUUUUAAUCUGGAACUGAGAGCUCUCGGCCGCUGGCAAGAAAUUGCUGGGACUUCGUUUACUCUACUGCGGUUUUGCCGCCCAUCAGCGGUGUUGUAUUAACCCUUAUUAACCCCAUGUAAAUUUUGAACUGAACUUGUAACAGAGUUCUGCGGCUGUUCUUGUUGGCUUCGGUCACGGACGGCAUCAACGCAACUCAGUUAUUUCUUUACAAAACAAAGAACAACUCUUAACAACGGAUAUCUUGGUUCUCGUAUCGAAGAACGCAGC
rnacentral:misc_RNA from 1 species